ensembl:lncRNA
UGACACAUCUGCUCUAUCAGCUCAAAGCUCUCAGUUAAACUACGUCUCAAAAUAACUGACACGUACUUUACGCAGCAGUCAUGGUCCCUCCGAUUUAAGGAAUGCUUUAAUUGUGGGACCCCACAUAAUGUUUUCAUGGUGAGUGUCGACAUCACUUCCUCUUUCUUUUUUGCUCCUCUGUCAGAGCUCCAGCUGCUCUUUAGAAAACCCUCUGAGUUGUGUGGUGGGGGAAAUAUCUGCCAGACAAGGCAACGUGAGCCUGACUCAGAGGCAGGUCUUCUCUGACAGCAUCAUCCAGCUCUCCGGGGACAACACAGUUGUGCACAGAUCUCUUGUGCUAAAGGAUGGUGACACCAUUGUUGCAUGUGCAGACAUCCUCCCAGACUCCCCAUCAUCAGAGCAGACCUUUCCCAAUGUCCCUAACUUCAGCCGGUUUGAUUUCCGUAGAAGGGUUGCAGACGUCCUCCAGGUGGAAACAGCGAGGGUCACCAUCCUGCCCGGCUCGCCCUUCACUGUUCAGGGCAGCGAGUGCCAGAGGGUCAACUACAUGGUGUCCGGUGAGGUCAGCGCAGACCAGCUGAGCUCUGUGAAAACCAGCGCGGCCAUGGGGGUCUUCAGGGAGUCCGAUUUGUGUACAAAGUCUGCAGGAGGUGCAGGCCUGCUGCUGCCGGGACGGCUCCUUCUGGCUCUGAUGUUCCCCGUCGCCGUCCUGCUGCCAUCCACAGCGUAGAGAGAACGAGCGUCACCAGUCAAGACACGUGGAUACUAAUGGAAAAUAUGGUUGUAAUUAGGGGUGUAACGAAUCACGGAAAAUCUGUGGUCAGAACGGAUCAGAGGCCACGGUUCAGGACACGUGUGUUCGGCAGACCGCUCCAACGCCCACCCCCCCACACCCCACACAUCGCGCUAGCAUAAUUUAAUAAUCGGUACACUUUACUAUUACUGGGUUCAAAUAAUCUCCCAGUUUAAAGCAGCAACUGUCCCGCACAGAAGAAUCUGCUUCUCUGUAACGGACUUGCUGGUACCGACACCGAACGAUUGUAUGGCAAGCCAAAGGUGUCAAAAAUCACCAGGAACCGCGGAAGUGCCAUGUUUUACAGAUAAUUAUGAUUUAAAACAUUUAAAUGUUCCCACAGCUAGUUUCAAUAAAGCAAUUAAUACCAAAAAAUAAUUGUAACUGUUUUAUUUAUGAUUUAAUUCUAAGGAAUAAUCCAGAUAGAUUUGGUAUUUUGAACACUAUUUUUAAGAAUCCUUUUCUUUCAGUUUUUGUAGAUUUGGUCUAAAGACAUGAAAAUGUCAUCAGAAACUGAAUGUUUUAGAAUUUUGUUUGUGUUCAAAGUUCAAAUAUGUUUUGUUUUAAUAAAUUGGCUUAGAUGACCAAAUGUUUUGUUGUAACAUAUGUAAAUAUUGUGUGUGUGAGGUACUUUAAAUGCUGAUUGAAUAUAUGAUUUGAAACAUUUCCAAAAAUUAAUUUACCUUUUAUAUUGUUGUUUUUUGUCGCUUUUUUUUUUUUUUUUACUUUUUACUGAUCCAUAAAAUGAUCCGAACCGUGACCCUAAAACCGUGACACGAUCCGAACUGUGAGUUUUGUGAUCCGUUACACCCCCAGUUGUAAUGGCACCUGCCCCCCUGGAACUCUGAAAGGGAUCAGGCGGGUUUGGAAAAUGAAUGAAUGCUUAUGGUUAUGAAGUGUUGUUCUGGUUUUCAGAAAAGACGUUAAAUAUUUCCUUGUAUAUAUUCCAAAAGCAAACAGAGAUUUUUCUUUUCUUUAUUUUAAAGUGAAGUAUUUUCAAUAAAUAAUUUGGUUUUGGAUCCAAUUUUUAUUUCUGUUGACUUGAGCACAAUUUACUGGUUUAUACCUUUUUGGGUUUUAAUUUAUGCAUUACUUUCGUUUGAUUUAAAGGUUUUUUAUUUAAACUUGUAAAUAAAGGCACAAACACUGUACUGUGAUCUGAUGGCUUUGACUUUUACUUUGAUCUGUUGCAUCAAACAAGUUUAAAAGCCCCCUCCCAUGAAAAUCCUGUCUUGAG